GCUAGUAUAGUUUAAACAAAACGUUAGAUUGUGAUUCUGAAGAUAGGAGUUAAAACCUCUUUACUUGCC
rnacentral:tRNA from 1 species